AGAAGUGAGCAAAGGUGCAGCUGGAGUAAAGUGUCUUCGAAGAGCCAACAGGCUUCCAAGUUAAAUCAUGCCUUUUUUUCAUUUGUUUUUUGUGUUGAUUGCUGCCCCAGAUGGAGUCUCACUCUGUCGCCCAGGCUGGAGUGCAGUGGUGCGUAUUUGGCUCAAUCCAACUUCUACUUCCUGGAUUCAAGUGAUUCACCUGCCUCAGCCUCCUGAGUAGCUGGGAGAUUACAGUUUUUCAGUGGUUAUUAAAGUGUUGACUCUGGAGGACUGUUUACAGCUGGAAAUCUAAAGAUUUUUCUCAUCAAUGUACACAAUAAGGACCCCAUUCUUAUCUACAGCAACUGUGACCUUCAUUGUGAAGGUUGCUCCUGCCAGUGACUUCAGCCCUGUAUUUAAAGCUGCACACUAUUCAUUCUCUGUUCCGGAAACGUUGGGAGCAUUCUAUAAAGUUGGAAGAGUGAUUGCCAUUGAUGAAGAGCACCCACCAAAUUGUGUGACAUACGAAAUAGCCAAUGGAGACACCCAGGUUAUACAAAGAUUCUGGAUUCAUCCUCUCUCUGGAAUGAUCGAACUUACCACACAGCCAGACUGUGAGUCUGUGAAGCAAUAUAACCUCACCGUGGAAGCUGUGGACUGUGACAGAUUUCACCCUUGUACAGCAAUGACCCAAAGAAAAGGUCUGAUCGUCCUGUACACAGCUAUAAACACGUACAAAUCCAAUGACUGGUACAUUCCUCUUAUCUUCACUCUGAUGGCUAUUUUCUUUGCUGGGUUGAUUUCCUGGGUAUGUUUCCUGCUUUGGAAAUAUGGGAACAUUAUGGAAUGCUGUCAGAAAAUGACCAAGGAAGUCUCCAAGGCCAAACCCAAAGGAAUUAAGUAUAUUGCAGGCGAUGGAAAUCAAAAGGAAAAUAUUGUCACAGGACACAGAAAUAAAAAAUUAGAAGUAUUAACAUCUCUGGGAACGUAUAUUAAUAUAAUAGCAGAACAGGUGCAAGAAAGUGGAAGAAGACCUCCAGGCACCAGAAGGAGCCCUUGGCAAACAUACAUUCCCUCCUAGAGGUCCAUCCUUUAGAGGAGUCCACAUCCUUAAAAAUUCAUUUGCAAGGAUAGCAUUUUUCCAGCUCCUGAAUGAUUGCUUUUUUGUGUAUAUGAUUGUCACAGGCAGUUUUUCUUGGCUACCUAAAAUUAUAGACAUGAGGCCAGCUGCUUUGUCUGUGUUUAUAGCUUUCUGUGGUCUUCCAUUUCAGGGUGUCUGUGUGAAGGCGGCAGGAGUGGUGAGCUUUGAAUCUCUGAAUAUGUUUUGCUGAAAACAAGAUACUAAAUUGACAUAUGUUCAUUGUCUUACUUUGCCCAGUAGAGUAUAUGCUUUUUAAGAUCAGAGACUAUUUUGCUCACUGCUUUAGCCCCAGUGCAUGUUUGGCACAGAGUGGGGGCUCUGUAUACAUUUGUGAAUAAAUAAAUUUGAAUAUAUGAA